UAACAGUUUGAUUUUGGCUGUAAUCUUUUAUUUUAUGUUUUUUGACACAUGGUAAAAUUUUUGUCUUGCGGGAUAUCAAUUAUCUAAAUGGUGAGUCGCGUCUCCAGUGCUUGAGUUUUUAAUAUAUAAUUUAUGUUAGUGAGAGAAAUACAUUGUUUUAAUUGGCUAAUGGCGUGCCAGCUGCCGCGGUUACACGGAUGAUUAAUAUAAAAGUUUUUGGUAAAAAUUAGGAUUAUGUAAUUUUUUGGUGUAUUUAUUAAUUCAUAAUAUGUAAAAUUUGUAUUGUUUUUUAUUAACCCCAAUUGAGAGGAGCAGCUAUCUUGAAAAUUUAGAUAUAAACCAGGAUUAGAUACCCUGUUAUUCUAUUUUAUAAAUUUUUAUACCCGAGUAGUAUUAAUUUUUGUUUGAAACUUAAAAAAUUUGGCGGUAUUUUAUUCUCCCCAGAGGAGCCUGUUCUGUAAUUGAUGAUCCACGUUACAUCUUUCCUCAAUUUGUUUUUCACUUUGUAUACCGCUGUCGUCAGCAUAUUUUUAUAGAAUUUAAUCAUAUGCUUAGUAAUUUUUGUUACUACGUCAAGUCAAGGUGCAGGUUAUGUUGAGGUAGAAAUGGGCUACAUUCUUUUGUUGGAUACGAAUGAUAAGUUGAAAUUUUAUCUGAAGGUGGAUUUGGGAGUAAGUUUAUAUUAGUGUGUUUUGUUGAAAUUAGAUCUAAAAUAUGUACACAUCGCCCGUCGCUCUCGUCAGCAAGAUGAGAAAAGUCGUAACAAAGUAGGUGUAUCGGAAGAUGCUCCUAGGAA